rnacentral:tRNA from 1 species
CCCGGAUUAGCUCAGUUCGUAGAGCGCUCCACCUGUAGUGGAGAGGUCCCGGGUUCGAUACCCGGACCAGGCG